AUGAACGCUGGCGGCGUGGAUAAGGCAUGCAAGUCGAGUGGGUUUAGGCCCACGGCAAACGGGUUAGUAAUGCAUAGGAACUUUCCUUGAAGUCAUGGAUAAUCUGGAGAAAUCCAGGACAAUACAUGAUGUGCUCUACGGAGUAAAGAUUUAUCGCUUCAAGAGAGGCCUAUGUCCUAUCAGCUAGUUGGUAGUGUAAUGGACUACCAAGGCUAUGACGGGUAGGGGGUGUGAGAGCACGGCCCCCAACAUUGGGACUGAGAACUGCCCAAACUCCUACGGGAGGCUGCAGUCGAGAAUAUUCCACAAUGGACGAAAGUCUGAUGGAGCGACGCCGCGUGCAGGAUGAAGGCCUUCGGGUCGUAAACUGCUUUUGUAAGGGAAGAAUGCAAAUGACGGUACCUUACGAAUAAGAGGUUACUAACUCUGU
rnacentral:rRNA from 1 species